CGUUCUGUGGCGCAGUUGGUUGACGCACCCAGUCUAGAGGAUUGGGAGCCGUGGGAUCGAAUCCCAUCAUAACGA
rnacentral:tRNA from 1 species